rnacentral:lncRNA from 1 species
UCGGGGCUGAGCGAGCCCGAGGCGGGGCGCGCAGCGCGGCAGAGGGAGCAGGCAGGCGCUCGGGGCUGGUGCGGGCCCGAGCGGCGCGGCGGCCGGUGAGCGGAGCGCGGCGCACAGGCGAAGCUCUGGAGCGCAUGAAGGCUGUGCAGGGCGACGCAGGAGCGAGGCAGGUGUGCGCCGCGGGCGCGAGCUGGUGUGCGGGGCUGGGCAGAUGUGUGCACGGAGGGCCCAGGAGCAGAACGUCGCAGACGGCGCUGGCUCGGCCGGAGUGGCGCAAGCACGAGUGUGGAGCGCGUGCGGAAGCCGGCGGUGCAGGUGGAGCCGCGGAGCGGCUGCGGUUUGGGCAGAGGCUGGCGCAGCGCAGAGGCAGGGCACGCGCAGGCUCUGGUGGCGCAAGCGAGCGCGUGCACGCAGGCGAGUGAACGCUGGCGGCGUGCGGGUGUGACGCAAACUCGUGAGCGGCACGGCUGGCAGUACAGGAGCAAAUGUGAGCGACGCCGAUCGGGUGGCGCGAACAUGCGCGCGGUAACACAGCGGAAGCCGGUGGCGUGUGCAGGUGUUGAGCGGAGCGCGCGCGGAGGGCGCUGGAGGCGCGGUUGGCGCGCGCGCGAAUGGUUCAGCCGGGGUAGGAGUAGGCCCAAAUGGCGUGAACACACGUAUGCGAGCGUUGGAGUGACGCGGCAAGGUCGAGCGAACACGGGUUCGGCAGCUGGAAGCGGAGGAGCAGCUGCACAGCGUGCAGGGCGACGAUGUGCAGGAAGGUCGCGCGCGAUGCGAGAGGAGUUGUAAUGCGGCGGCUGCAGGCGGAACUGCCCAGGAAGCAGUGGAGUCGCGCGUAGAAGACGUCGAAAGCCGUUAAGGAGAAAGCAGUGGACGAGAUCAGGCGGCACUAUGAACUUUUCGUGGAGGGUUUGGAGGUGGUCAGGUGCGAGCAGACCAUGGCCCUCGCGGAGGCAGAGAGGGCGAGUGUGGCGCGGUGAGGCGCAAGCGAAGGUCCGGACGGAUUUGGACUAGCACGUCCGCGGAUACGAGCGAGAGUGCUCUACCGGUGACCGGCUCGACUCGAUUCAGCAAGCGCGUGUGAGACAACAGGCCAUCUUCCACGCACGGCAACUCUUCCCGGCAAACUUCUUCGUCAACCACGGAAUCUCUUUAUCGUCGAGCUUAUCUCUCUUCACCGAUCCUAUUCGCCACGGGACUUCACUUUCCGUCUGUUCUUCUCCACGACCAAGGUUUGCCCUGAGUCAUUGAAUCUUUCUAAUGCCGGCGAUUCUUUUGCUGGAAUAUCGCCGUUAACUUCCUGUUAUCUGUUUUCCCGGACCAAGGACUUGGUUGUUAUGUUUUAGAAAGUUCUAGGGUGUUCUUUGUAAAAUUUCUAAAACUUUCUGUAUUUCAAAUCGAUGAACUUCUACAUUUCAUAGAUUUCCGUAGGAAGUUCAUAAAAAUGUAAAAUCAGUUUUGUUUGAAAUCCUAAGUCAAACUCUACAAGUUUUAUGUUGUGAUCUUGAGUGAAAAUCUUUGAUGUGUGGUUUAGGUCAAAUGUUAGGGAAUGAAUGUUUUAUUGUGCUUUAUAUUGUAUGCUUGUGUUAUAACUGAAAAGUAAACCAUAAAAUAUAGAUCUUAAAUAGAAAUAUGUGAUGUUUCGUUAAACCUUCCAUAUGAGUGCUCAUAUCCUUGCCGUCAAGACGUUAUCCUUGUCUUGAUUGCCGUUUCCUUAAGUUUCUCUUCGUGUAAAGGUCUUUGUUAAUUCAUGUGCAUCUGUUGCUUAGCUUAUACAUCUCUGCAGCUGCGUUUCAACAUCAGCUUUUGGUUCAGCCGCUAAGCAUCCGUUUCCUUGAGUCGAUGACGUCCCUGUGUAACAGCUAUCAGUUGAUGCUUCUACCGUCGGCCAGUUAGCUGAUACGGUUGUUACCUUUCUAGUGUCGACUACUGUCGAUACAGUUCUUUUGUUCUGUUCUACAUCGACUGUAUAUAGUCGAUGUAUCGGAGAUGCACACAUGAUCUUAGGAUUCUUGUCAUCGGCCGACCCAAGCCGAUUUUGGUUGCUUUUCCAUGUCGAUCAAACACGGCCGAUCAAUCCUUAGUUUCCCCAUCCAUAUCCACACACUUCUAUCAGUCGAUCUAUCAACUGAGAGGUCGACUUUAUACUUAUCGGUCAUAUACCCUUAACCGCACUCCAAUCGGCUAUGCGUCGCUCAAUUGUUGUGCUGACGUAAUCGAGCCGAUGCAACCACACUUAGUUACCUAGAAUAACCCUUAAGCACAUCUCAGUUAGGACACGACUGCUUUAGGAAUCAUCCCUCUGCUGAAGUAAUUAAUGUUUUCAUCAAUCGUCUAGAAACCCGAUGUAUCUUUCCAUCAGCUAAACCCCCGUUGUUUCCAAUCGGCUCUGCUGUGAUCUUCAACGAGCAGCCGAUUCUAGUUAGUUGUCCCCCUAAAGCUCUAUCUAGGUUUGGUUCAGAUCUUUUUGGUUGUUAUGUGAAUAGUGUGUUAUAUGAGUGCUGGAUUACAACUUUGCUGCGAAAUAAAAUAGUUUUGUAUGCACGCUUUGAAUGUGAUGUCGCAUUGCAUGUAGAUACGACUACUUCGGCAACGGUACCUACAAGAUCUCCCCAAAGUCUACGGAGGAUGUUCCUGAAGAUCAAGUAAAUGUCGCCAAUGGAAUAUCGGAAGCCCUGAACCAAAGUUCGGAAGAUACUGACAUUUCUGACUUCAGACCCACCAGUAAAGGCAAGCCCCGGACAUAACCCACUAUUUUAAUUAUACUGCAAUCUAUAUCUAUUUAUGUAUUCUAUGCAUUAAGUUCUUAGGAAUUGCUUGAAACACUAGUUGCAUUUCCCUAGGAACCAAUGUGAUGAAUACUAGUACUUGAGUCCGACUAGCUGCUAUGCUAAUAGGGCCGGUAGAAGUCGGGUGAUUUCCUGUCACUCGCGCGAUAUAGGAGUUGUAAUGAUUACAUUCCUGUUAUCACUAUAAGGAUGCCGGACGGGAGUUUUGUGCGGUAUCAUGGUUGAGAUGAUACCCCGUCUGUGUUGAUGAAUCUGAUAAGGUCGCAGUGUGUGGAAGUGCGGGUUAAGUGUUUGAAAGUACUAGCCACAUACCGUGAGUUAUGGGUAAGCGGUAAGCCUAGUAGCCAAUCGGCCCGAGGAGUGGACAUACCUCCCACCACAUGUAUUUGGUUCUUUUGGUUACUUGGUUCGACUGGGGAAAUACGUGUUGCAAGGGCAACCAGGAAUACGGGUUUUGUAGUCGCGCUACAGACGUAUGUCCUGCACACAUUGGGUGUGCGUAUGUUCCUGCAGUCGCUUGUGGUGGAUCUGAUCCACGAGUCGGAAUGAAAGGCAAACGGUUGCUUUGGAAUGACCCUGUGGUGUUCCAAGCGUGUGUGUUAGGUUUACCUUGCAAGGUUAAAUUCGAUUCGAAUCGUCCGCUUCUCACGAAGAUUGAGACUGCUUGAUCCCUUUUCCACAUAGAGUAACAAGAACAAUAUUAUGGUUAUCAAAGAUGAUGUUUGACCAAAGAUUAUACCAUGCUUGCUUAGUUAUAGGUGCCUACCUAGUAUGGAUAAUUAACUAGAAUCUAGAAGCUAAAACUUGAAGUUAAGGAUCUACUCUUUGUUGCUUUUCAGCUGAAACUAAACCCAGAACCAUUAUAAGCUUUCAUAAGUCUAGUUAUGGGCUAAGAUAUACCCAAUCCCGGGUAAGCCUUGCUGAGUAUUAGUAUACUCAGCCUUGCUAGCUUUAUGUUUUUCAGGUAAAGCCUUUGAAGACCCUACUCUUUCCUUGUCAUGGCCCCGUGCUUUUCCAGAAGGUUGGUCCGAGGAAUGGGAUCCGUCCCCGACCAAUACUGAUGAUCUCGAGUGAUGUCGUGUCUGGGCUUAGCAUGACAUCCACCUUGACGACGUGUUGUAAUUCUUCGCGUAUAUUUUCCGCUGCUUUUAACCCUAGCUUUACAGUUUGUAAUCUUUUCUCUAAAUUUGAAACUUCAUACUUCUUUUUGGAAACUCUUGUAAUGUAAUUCUCUAUGAUGUAAAAUAUGAUGGUGAUUGUAUCUCUGGACUCACCUUCGUGUGAGGUAA